UACGUAGGGGGCAAGCGUUGUCCGGAAUCAUUGGGCGUAAAGCGCGUGUAGGCGGCCCGGUAAGUCCGCUGUGAAAGUCCAGGGCUCAACCCUGGGAUGCCGGUGGAUACUGUCGGGCUCGAGUCCGGAAGAGGCGAGUGGAAUUCCCGGUGUAGCGGUGAAAUGCGCAGAUAUCGGGAGGAACACCAAUGGCGAAGGCAGCUUGCUGGGACGGUACUGACGCUGAGACGCGAAAGCGUGGGGAGCAAACAGG
rnacentral:rRNA from 1 species